UUGAACGCUGGCGGCAUGCUUUACACAUGCAAGUCGAACGGCAGCGGGGGCUUCGGCCUGCCGGCGAGUGGCGAACGGGUGAGUAAUGCAUCGGAACGUACCCAGUCGUGGGGGAUAACUACGCGAAAGCGUAGCUAAUACCGCAUACGCCCUGAGGGGGAAAGUGGGGGACCGCAAGGCCUCACGCGAAUGGAGCGGCCGAUGUCAGAUUAGCUAGUUGGUGGGGUAAAGGCCCACCAAGGCGACGAUCUGUAGCGGGUCUGAGAGGAUGAUCCGCCACACUGGGACUGAGACACGGCCCAGACUCCUACGGGAGGCAGCAGUGGGGAAUUUUGGACAAUGGGCGCAAGCCUGAUCCAGCCAUGCCGCGUGCGGGACGAAGGCCUUCGGGUUGUAAACCGCUUUCAGCCGGAAAGAAAUCGCUGUUUUUAAUACGGACAGUGGAUGACGGUACCGGAAGAAGAAGCACCGGCUAACUACGU
rnacentral:rRNA from 1 species